rnacentral:rRNA from 1 species
AACCUGCCCAAUAGAUCGGGAUAACACCUGGAAACAGAUGCUAAUACCGGAUAACAACAGAUGAUGCCUAUCAACUGUUUAAAAGAUGGUUCUGCUAUCACUCUUGGAUGGACCUGCGGUGCAUUAGCUAGUUGGUAGGGUAACGGCCUACCAAGGCGAUGAUGCAUAGCCGAGUUGAGAGACUGAUCGGCCACAUUGGGACUGAGACACGGCCCAAACUCCUACGGGAGGCAGCAGGC